rnacentral:RNase_P_RNA from 1 species
CAGGAUGCCCAGGCAAUCGCGCGGCACGCACCGUUAGCCGGUGUGUGCUUCGAGGAAAGUCCGGGCUCCACAGCACAGGAUGGUGGAUAACGUCCACUCGGGGUAACCCGCAGGCCAGUGCCACAGAAAGCAGACCGCCGUCCCAGCUUGGGGCGGUAAGGGUGAAACGGUGGUGUAAGAGACCACCAGUGGGUGCGGUGACGUGCCCAGCUUGGUAAACCCCAUCCGGAGCAAGGUCAAACAGAACACGCCAUGAUAGGGUAGUGCGCCCGAACCGCUGCGCCAGCUGCGCGCGGGGGUGCGUGUUCGGGUAGACUGCUUGAGGCUCACGGCAACGCGAGUCCUAGAUAGAUGAUUGCCCCGGGCACCCGGUAGAACCAGGCGCCUAUGACAGAACCCGGCUCAUAGGGCAUCCUGCCUC